rnacentral:rRNA from 1 species
AGUAAGAAGGCCUUCGGGUUGACAGCUCUUUUGUCAGGGAAGAAACAGCAGCUCUAACACUGUCUGAGAAUGACGGCUACCUGAAGAAUAAGCACCGGCUAACUACGUGCCAGACAGCCGCGGCUAAUACGUUAGCGGUGCGUAUGCGUUAAUCGGCAAUUACUGGGCUGUAAAGCGUGCGCAGGCGGUUAUACAAGACAAGCGUGAAAUCCCGGGCUUAACCUGAGAAUGGCGUCUGUGACUGUAUAGCUAGAGUGUGUCAGAGGGGGGUGGAAUUCCACGUGUAGCAGUGAAAUGCGUAGAUAUGUGGAGGAACACCAAUGGCGAAGGCAGCCCCCUGUGGAUAACACUGACGCUCAUGCACGAAAGCGUGGGGAGCAAACAGGAUUAGAUACCCUGGUAGUCCACGCCCUAAACGAUGCUGACUAGUCGUUGGGACUCUACAUUCUCAGUAACGUAGCUAACGCGUGAAGUCAGCCGCCUGCGGAGUACGGUCGCAAGAUUACAACUCAAAGGACUCGACGGGGACCCGCACAAGCGGUGGAUGAUGUGGAUUAAUUCGAUGCAACGCGAAAAGCCUUAGCUACCCUUGACAUGUCACUAACGACGUAGAGAUGACUUAGGUGCCCGUACGGG